UAAUCGAUCGUUGCAUUUUUCCUCUGUUAAACUCUUUGAAAAGAAUCGCAUAGUCACUGAGAAUCCAUGGAUUCUUCUUCCACGAAACAUUUUCUCGUCGUCUAGGGUUUUGCUUUGCAUCGUAGAAUCACUGUCUUCAACAUUUGUAGCUUUUAUCUCUUUUCUUGGAGAUCACGCACUGAUUCUUGGUACAGUUUUCGAUUUAACCUUCUCUAGACUCAUUCACGAUCUCGUGGGAAGGGUGUUCGUGAUAGAACUCGAGGGACCCGCCUAUACAUGCAUAGAGUGCCACACACACAUCGGAGUCCCCAGUGAUAUCAUCUCUAAAGAGAUCGAGGAAGUUUUUGACAUCCAUGACAAUGACAUCAUAUAUGACUUCAGUAGACUCUUCAAUACGUUUCUGGCUGAAAACACGUUCUAUUCUGCUUUGCAAAGUAUCUUUUGUGUCGGUUGUGCUAAUAUCAUUGGCAU